rnacentral:rRNA from 1 species
UACGUAGGGGGCAAGCGUUGUCCGGAAUCAUUGGGCGUAAAGAGCGUGUAGGCGGCCCGGUAAGUCCGCUGUGAAAGUCCAGGGCUCAACCCUGGGAUGCCGGUGGAUACUGUCGGGCUCGAGUCCGGAAGAGGAGUGUGGAAUUCCUGGUGUAGCGGUGAAAUGCGCAGAUAUCAGGAGGAACACCAAUGGCGAAGGCAGCACUCUGGGACGUGACUGACGCUAAGGCGCGAAAGCGUGGGGAGCGAACAGG